rnacentral:rRNA from 1 species
AACGAACGCUGGCGGCAGGCCUAACACAUGCAAGUCGAGCGAGAUCUUCGGGUCUAGCGGCGGACGGGUGAGUAACGCGUGGGAAUAUGCCCUUCUCUACGGAAUAGCCCUGGGAAACUGGGAGUAAUACCGUAUACGCCCUACGGGGGAAAGAUUUAUCGGAGAAGGAUUAGCCCGCGUUGGAUUAGGUAGUUGGUGGGGUAAUGGCCUACCAAGCCUACGAUCCAUAGCUGGUUUGAGAGGAUGAUCAGCCACACUGGGACUGAGACACGGCCCAGACUCCUACGGGAGGCAGCAGUGGGGAAUCUUAGACAAUGGGGGCAACCCUGAUCUAGCCAUGCCGCGUGAGUGAUGAAGGCCUUAGGGUUGUAAAGCUCUUUCAGCUGGGAAGAUAAUGACGGUACCAGCAGAAGAAGCCCCGGCUAACUCCGUGCCAGCCGCCGCAGUAAAAC